GUGCAGCAGGCGAGAAUUUUUCUCAAUGGGGGCAACCCUGAAGGAGCGACGCCGCGUGGAGGAUGAAGGCUUUCGGGUUGUAAACUCCUGUCAUUUGAGAACAAGUGGCCGAACCUAACUACUUCGGCCUUGAUAGUAUCAGAAGAGGAAGGGACGGCUAACUCUGUGCCAGCAGCCGCGGUAAUACAGAGGUCCCAAGCGUUGUUCGGAUUCAUUGGGCGUAAAGGGUGCGUAGGUGGCGCCGUCAGUGGGGUGUGAAAUUUCGGAGCUUAACUCCGAAACUGCAUUCCAUACUGCGGUGCUUGAGGACUGGAGAGGAGACUGGAAUUUACGGUGUAGCAGUGAAAUGCGUAGAGAUCGUAAGGAAGACCAGUGGCGAAGGCGGGUCUCUGGAUAGUUCCUGACACUGAGGCACGAAGGCCAGGGGAGCAAACGGGAUUAGAUACCCGCGUAGU
rnacentral:rRNA from 1 species